UAUACAGUAGUGUAAGAUGCACAGAAUUUUUUGAUUUUUCUAGUAUUAGUUUAAUUCUAAUUUGUAUAA
rnacentral:tRNA from 1 species